UACGGGGGGUGCGAGCGUUGUCCGGAAUCACUGGGCGUAAAGGGCGCGUAGGUGGUUUGAUAAGGGUGUGGUGAAAGUCCGGGGCUCAACCCCGGAUCUGCCGUGCCGACUGUCAAACUCGAGGACUGUAGAGGCAGACGGAAUUCCGGGUGUAGCGGUGGAAUGCGUAGAGAUCCGGAGGAACACCAGAGGCGAAGGCGGCUACCUGGACAAUUGCUGACGCUCAGGCACGAAAGCGUGGGGAGCAAAAGGG
rnacentral:rRNA from 1 species